rnacentral:rRNA from 1 species
UGGAAACAGAUGCUAAUACCGCAUAACAACGUUGUUCGCAUGAACAACGCUUAAAAGAUGGCUUCUCGCUAUCACUUCUGGAUGGACCUGCGGUGCAUUAGCUUGUUGGUGGGGUAACGGCCUACCAAGGCGAUGAUGCAUAGCCGAGUUGAGAGACUGAUCGGCCACAAUGGGACUGAGACACGGCCCAUACUCCUACGGGAGGCAGCAGUAGGGAAUCUUCCACAAUGGGCGCAAGCCUGAUGGAGCAACACCGCGUGAGUGAAGAAGGGUUUCGGCUCGUAAAGCUCUGUUGUUAAAGAAGAACACGUAUGAGAGUAACUGUUCAUACGUUGACGGUAUUUAACCAGAAAGUCACGGCUAACUACGUGCCAGCAGCCGCGGUAAUACGUAGGUGGCAAGCGUUAUCCGGAUUUAUUGGGCGUAAAGAGAGUGCAGGCGGUUUUCUAAGUCUGAUGUGAAAGCCUUCGGCUUAACCGGAGAAGUGCAUCGGAAACUGGAUAACUUGAGUGCAGAAGAGGGUAGUGGAACUCCAUGUGUAGCGGUGGAAUGCGUAGAUAUAUGGAAGAACACCAGUGGCGAAGGCGGCUACC